ACAUAUUCAGGCUGAUAUAUUCAGAACCAACUGACGAAGGCAUGCUGAAUUCUAAGGAAGGUACAGCAGAGACCAUGAGGAGCCCGAGUCUGCAAAAGCCUUUAUCUCCUCUUCAGAGAAGUCCAGAAGGGAUAAGGAGUCAGUCCAGGUCUUCGGCGAGAGAAUCAGUGGCAAGUCAAAACACAAGAACUCAAAGGAGAAACAGUGUCUUUUGCUCUCAACAUUGAGAAACAGAGGUCUAGCGCUAGCAGCCCCACAGCUCCCAGGGAAGAACUGCAACUGAGAAAGCGAUAUGGAAACAAGAGACCAUGCUGCUUCACCGUCUGCCGAAGUCUCACCUGUGCCACAGCCACCCCAGACAACACAAACCCCCUUUCACUGGAGCCCCCUGUUCAGAGCCACUGAGUCAUCUCCCAGUCCC
rnacentral:lncRNA from 1 species